rnacentral:rRNA from 1 species
AUUGAACGCUGGCGGCAGGCCUAAUACAUGCAAGUCGAGCGGAUGAAGGGAGCUUGCUCCUGGAUUCAGCGGCGGACGGGUGAGUAAUGCCUAGGAAUCUGCCUGGUAGUGGGGGAUAACGUCCGGAAACGGGCGCUAAUACCGCAUACGUCCUGAGGGAGAAAGUGGGGGAUCUUCGGACCUCACGCUAUCAGAUGAGCCUAGGUCGGAUUAGCUAGUUGGUGGGGUAAAGGCCUACCAAGGCGACGAUCCGUAACUGGUCUGAGAGGAUGAUCAGUCACACUGGAACUGAGACACGGUCCAGACUCCUACGGGAGGCAGCAGUGGGGAAUAUUGGACAAUGGGCGAAAGCCUGAUCCAGCCAUGCCGCGUGUUUGAAGAAGGUCUUCGGAUUGUAAAGCACUUUAAGUUGGGAGGAAGAGCAGUAAGUUAAUACCUUGCUGUUUUGACGUUACCAACAGAAUAAGCACCGGCUAACUUCGUG